rnacentral:rRNA from 1 species
AGAGUUUGAUCCUGGCUCAGGAUGAACGCUAGCUACAGGCUUAACACAUGCAAGUCGAGGGGAAACGACAUCGAAAGCUUGCUUUUGAUGGGCGUCGACCGGCGCACGGGUGAGUAACGCGUAUCCAACCUGCCCACCACUUGGGGAUAACCUUGCGAAAGUAAGACUAAUACCCAAUGACGUCUCUAGAAGACAUCUGAAAGAGAUUAAAGAUUUAUCGGUGAUGGAUGGGGAUGCGUCUGAUUAGCUUGUUGGCGGGGUAACGCCCACCAAGGCGACGAUCAGGUAGGGGUUCUGAGAGGAACGGUCCCCCACAUUGGAACUGAGAACACGGUCCAAACUCCUACGGGAGCA